GGGCCGUUAGCUCAGUUGGUAGAGCAUCUCAUUUGCAAUGAGAGGGUCGCAGGUUCGAAUCCUGUACGGUCCA
rfam:Parcubacteria bacterium C7867-001 C7867_00003, whole genome shotgun sequence.